rnacentral:rRNA from 1 species
UACAAUUGUAAAAUAUAAUUCUUGGUUAGUAGUAGUUAUGUUCUUUAAAACUAAAAAAUUUGGCGGUAUUUUAGUCAGUUCAGAGGAACCUGUCCUGUAAUUGAUAGUCCACGAUAUUCCUUACUUAUUCUUUUAGCUUGUAUAUCGUUGUUAAUGAAUUUCUUUUUAGGGUUAAUUUUCUUUUAUUUUUAUGUUAAUUAAUUUCAGAUCAAGGUGCAGCUUAUGAGUAAGUAGAGAUGGGUUACAUUAUUUUUAUUUUUGGUUAUUAAAUUUAAAUUUUUAGUAUAAAAUGGAUUUGACAGUAAUUAUAUUUAUUUAACUAUGAUGAUUAUUGUUCUGAAAUAUGU